rnacentral:hammerhead_ribozyme from 1 species
CAGCUGGCGAGUCCUGAAUAGGACGAAACGCGCGUCCUG